CAGCAUGGAGGGAGGCAGCGGAGAACCCGGGCUAGAGUUCACUCUCCACUGAACCACCAGGGAAGGCAGCAGGACUGGGAUAUUAACUAAUCUGCCCCCACCUCCACCCAAACAUACAGCACACACACACACACAGCACCUACACACAGCACACACAGCACACAAACAGCACCCACACACACAUUACCCUCGCACACACACACCCAGCACACUAACAGCAUCCUCACAAACACACAAACAGCACACUCACACACAAACAGCACCUUGACAAACACACAGCACACAAACAGCACACUAACAGGACCCGAACAAACACGCACACAGAAACACCCUCUCACACACACACACACACAGCACACUACCAGUUCCCUCACACACUGCAC